UACGUAGGGGGCGAGCGUUGUCCGAAGUUACUGGGCGUAAAGCGCGCGUAGGCGGCUCUUUAAGUCUGAGGUGAAAGGUUCAGCGCUCAACGUGAACAGUGCCUUGGAUACUGGGGAGCUUGAGUGUGGGAGAGGGAAGUGGAAUUCCUGGUGUAGCGGUGAAAUGCGUAGAUAUCAGGAGGAACACCGGUGGCGAAGGCGGUGGUCUGGGCCGGUACUGACGCUGAGGAGCGAAAGCGUGGGGAGCGAACAGG
rnacentral:rRNA from 1 species